UACGUAGGGUCCGAGCGUUGUCCGGAAUUACUGGGCGUAAAGAGCUCGUAGGUGGUUUGUCGCGUUGUUCGUGAAAACUCACAGCUUAACUGUGGGCGUGCGGGCGAUACGGGCAGACUUGAGUACUGCAGGGGAGACUGGAAUUCCUGGUGUAGCGGUGAAAUGCGCAGAGUAUCAGGAGGAACACCGGUGGCGAAGGCGGGUCUCUGGGCAGUAACUGACGCUGGAGGAGCGGAAAGCGUGGGUAGCGAAACAGG
rnacentral:rRNA from 1 species